rnacentral:RNase_P_RNA from 1 species
CAGACAAUCGCGUCAUUUUUAUGAUGAGGAAAGUCCGAGCAUCAAGAGAACUGGGUGCUGGUUAACGACCAGCGGAGGCGACUCUAGGAAUAGUGCAACAGAAAUAAACCGCCUGCCAAGAAAGCAGGUAAGGAUGGAAAGGUGGUGUAAGAGACCACCGCUUAGCUAGAGAUAGCUAAGGCUCUGUAAACUCCACCUGAUGCAAGGUCAAAAGGGCAAAUGUGCUUGUUCUCUCACGCCCUGAACGAACCGCUUGAACUUAUUGGCAACAAUAAGUCUAGAUAGAUGAUUGUCAAAUACAGAACUCGGCUUACAGCAUGACUCG